rnacentral:lncRNA from 1 species
CUGCGGGGCAACCGGAGCCUCCGCAGCCAUGCGCACGAUCUGCCCCACCGCUGGCUCCGCUGGCUCCAGACAGACUUCGGGACCCUGCUGAAGCCAAGAGCUGAUGUGGCGAGGUAAGGGGCACAAUGCUAAUCACACCCCAACAGUCCCAAAGGUCCACUCGAGACCAGAGCAGAGAUGACCCACUUUCUCACCCAGGGGAAAGAGCCCGCUGGGGCAAUGAGCUGGACACGUUGGCGCCUGGUUUCGCAGCUCAGCUUUAGAGUUGGGGAGCCCCGCGUGAGCAUCCUUAGACUGUACCGACAGUACACAGUGGCCAAGGACAGGAUCCCUGGACCCCAUUCUCACAGCCAGUGGCUGCUCGUCUCCAGCCUCGCGCUGGCCUGGCAGACAGGAACUGGGACAAAUGGAGCAAGCAGAGGGGGGACGCUGGUGAUCGCAGAGGCCGGGGGCGUCCCACGCUGCCAGGGGCGGAGAGGCACACUCCCAAGUGACAUGCGCAGCUGCCUCUCCCGAUGGGCAAGGGCGUCUCACUGGGGAGACGGAAGCCGGGCUGUCCGAGAGCUCUAACCACGAGCCUCCCACUACCGCAAGCGAUAGUCCAUGACCUCUGGGCACCGCCCGAGCCAUGACUCGGUGCUACCAGGUGUGCUGGGGGAGGGGAAGGGACACGGCCAAGCCCAGUGCUUUCCCUUCUGCCCCUGCCACGCUCGGCCUCUGGCCACCGUUAUUCAGCGCGGCGCGAAGCCUGUGGGCCGCUGGAGGCAGCACUUACGGCGACAAUGCGUCCUAGAGCCCAGCGCCCAGCACUCACGCUCCCGCGGCGACCGACGGCACCCGGUGCAAGUUCUGAGCCCGAGGGGCGGAGCCAAAGGGGCAGGGAGCUCAGCGCGCACGGCCGCUCAGCCAAUAGUGACACCAGGAUACGACCCAGGGCGGGGAGGGGCCAGCGCUCCGCCCGCGCGCACCAAUCAGCGCGCAACUCCUCCUGCGCGCUCGGGAACCAAGGGAGGAACCGCUUUUAGGAUGCUUCUCCAGGCUGGAUUUUAUUUUGUUUUUAAUUCCGGGAACUUUGGAAAACGCAAAGAAACGCUAAUUGAAGCCGCACUGUAACUUCAUCUCUUCCGGGUCGCUGUGAGAACUGAUGAAGGGACUGUGGAGUCCAGCGCUGCUGCGACGCAAAAACACAACUCUCACCUCAAAGGGGAUCAGAGAUGGCUUAUCCUAGAGCCAAAUAGGAGCGACCCUAGCCCGGGAACACAAAUACAGGUUAUUCCAUGUCCCAACAUGGUAACAGUUUGAUAAAAAUUGUGAAUUAUUUUGUGCUUUUUUUUUUUUUUUUUAGUUAUUUUAUGCGUGUUUGCCCGCGUGUGUAUUUGUGCACCACCUAUGUGUCUGGUGUCCUCAGAGGCCAAAAGAGGGGUCAAAUCUCCUGGGAUUGGAGUUGCAAACAGCUAUGAACCAUCCUGUACAUGAUUGGACAACCCUUGCAAAGGAACGGUGUAGCUGUCUCUCCAGCCUCUUAAUGAAGAACAAAGAAAAACGUAAAAACAAGGCACUUUUCAAUUGUAUUGGUGAGGAUAUCAGGUAAACAGGCUACAGCAAAGGAGAAAAAGAUCUCAGCUAUAGGCCCCAGAUGCUAGCCUGAGAGCAUUCUUAGCCCUUUGGUUGAUCGGAAACUAGAGAUCUGUUCUUGCACUCUGACUUACUGGAUAGUUACAAAGAUGUUAAGCCAAGUAGAGGGCAGAGCAAUCAGUAGUUGUUAAAGGACAUAAAGAUGCCACAAAAUGCCAGUCUGGCUCUGGACCUGCAACAUUUUAACCCUUUUGUGUCACUAAAUUUCUAGUCAGUAAAUCAGACUAGCAAAAGAUGCUGCUGUUCUUUUGAGUAAUUUGUAUUCACGGCUGCCAGACUAGCCACCAGGACCACAGCUUCUAAAAUGUAGCCACUUCACAGAUCUCCUGUUGUGUAACAGUUUCCAAAAACACUGCUUCCUGUAGGAAGCUCCUUAAGCAAUAAGCACUUAAAAUAGCUUUGGGAACCUCCUUAAAGAGGAAGGUAAACAAACUCAAAUUAGCUUCAGGAAGUCCCUGAAACUGACCAGGUUCACUAGGCCCCUCCCUACCAGGCUAAGCAAUAAACUAGUCAUAACCCAACACCUCCCAUUAGGGAUAUAAUGGCCUGGGCUCUUAGAGUCCUUUCUGCUUCUCCAUCCUUGAGAACUCUGUGAAAGGAGACAAGAUACAUUGCUUAAUGAUGACUCAUUGCCUAACGAAGCAGAGGACACUCAUAUGACAAUAAACAAUGGGCACAAGGACCACUCAGCUGGCUACAUUUUAGGCAGGCCCUCUGCUGUUUCUGAAGUGACCUGAUUCUAGAACAGGUACUAUUUUCCCUAGUGAGUUUGUCCUGUUGAGGUUCCUGACAGACCCCUUUGAAUUGACUUUUUUUAAAAAAGUGUAUGUGUGUCCAUGUCCGUGUGUGUGUGGUGUUCAUCUGUGAGCACAGGCACAUACACAUGUAAGUCGAAAUCAGAGAUCAACUUCAGCUGUGGUCCUCACCUCACCUCACCAGAACAACCUCUGGCUCACUGCUACAUGCACUGGACUUUGUCAGAAAGCCUCCUGGUUCACAGUCUUCUGAGGCUUAGGAUCCCAGGGCCUGUGUCUAUUAAUAACUUUCCAGACAGUUCAGCUUGUCACACCUCUCAGAGCCAAACAGCUCAGGUCUCAUGCCUCUCAGCAGCCGAUAGAGGGCUGCUGUUUCAGUCCUUGCUUUUCCAAGUUGUUGAGCAUAAAGGAUGAAAGGACUCUGGCCAGCUGGAGUGUGGCAAGCAUGGCUCUGGCGGGCUUUGCCCUUCUCUUCCAUUCUCUCUGUGUUAAAAUAAUUUUUAACUGUUUUUCCUUUCCCAGGCCCAUCUCCCAAAGUGAUGACUCUGAGACUAUUUAUUAUUAAAUGUGUUGGCUAUUC